rnacentral:tRNA from 1 species
GGGCGCUUAGCUCAGUUGGUUAGAGCAUCUGCUUUACACGCAGAGGGUCAAAGGUUCGAAUCCUUUAGCGCCCACCA